GAACGCUGGCGGCAGGCCUAACACAUGCAAGUCGAACGGUAACAGGAAACAGCUUGCUGUUUCGCUGACGAGUGGCGGACGGGUGAGUAAUGUCUGGGAAACUGCCUGAUGGAGGGGGAUAACUACUGGAAACGGUAGCUAAUACCGCAUAACGUCGCAAGACCAAAGAGGGGGACCUUCGGGCCUCUUGCCAUCGGAUGUGCCCAGAUGGGAUUAGCUAGUAGGUGGGGUAACGGCCCACCUAGGCGACGAUCCCUAGCUGGUCUGAGAGGAUGACCAGCCACACUGGAACUGAGACACGGUCCAGACUCCUACGGGAGGCAGCAGUGGGGAAUAUUGCACAAUGGGCGCAAGCCUGAUGCAGCCAUGCCGCGUGUAUGAAGAAGGCCUUCGGGUUGUAAAGUACUUUCAGCGGGGAGGAAGGGAGUAAAGUUAAUACCUUUACUCAUUGACGUUACCCGCAGAAGAAGCACCGGCUAACUCCGUG
rnacentral:rRNA from 1 species